AUGCGGGCUCUGCUCGAAACCCAUCUUCUUCAGCGUGGAGUCCAGCUUGGCGUUCCACGCCCUGGGUGCCUACCGCAGGCCAUAGAGAGCCUUGCGCAGGCGGAGCACCUUGCCCUCCUGGCCGGGAAUCGUAAACCUAGGUGGCUGAUGCACGUAGAGUUCCUCCUUCAAGUCGCCGUUGAGGAAUGCCGACUUAACGUCCAUGUGGUGGACACGCCAGCCCUCCUGGGCAGCCAACGCAAGGAGAAGUCGCACGGACUCCAUCCGUGCCACGGGAGCGAAAGCGUCGUCGAAGUCGACUCCUUCCUGCUGCAAGAAGCCUCGGGCCACCAAGCGAGCCUUGUGCUUGAUGAUGGCGCCGGCUCCAUCCCUCUUCAGCUUGAACACCCACUUAAGGGUGAUUGCGCGGUGACCUCGAGGGAGAUCAGCGAGCUCCCAGGUGCGGUUUUGCUCGACCGCAUCCAUCUCCAACUGCAUCACGGCGCGCCAUGCCGCGUCUCUCUCGGCCUCUGCAAAGGACCAUGGUUCGCCGUCUUCACACACGAGUUGUAG
rnacentral:rRNA from 1 species